rnacentral:tRNA from 1 species
GUAGCUCAGUGGUAGAGCAUUUGCCUAGCAUGUAUGAGGCCCUGGGUUCAAGCCCAGC